rnacentral:rRNA from 1 species
UACGAAGGGGGCUAGCGUUGUUCGGAAUUACUGGGCGUAAAGCGUGCGCAGGCGGUUGUGCAAGACAGAUGUGAAAUCCCCGGGCUCAACCUGGGAAUUGCAUUUGUGACUGCACGGCUAGAGUGUGUCAGAGGGGGGGUAGAAUUCCACGUGUAGCAGUGAAAUGCGUAGAGAUGUGGAGGAAUACCGAUGGCGAAGGCAGCCCCCUGGGAUAACACUGACGCUCAUGCACGAAAGCGUGGGGAGCAAACAGG